GGGCGCAAGCCUGAUGCAGCCUGCCGCGUGUAUGAAGAAGGCCUUCGGGUUGUAAAGUACUUUCAGCAGUGAGGAAGGUAGUAGUGUUAAUAGCACUAUUAUUUGACGUUAGCUGCAGAAGAAGCACCGGCUAACUCCGUGCCAGCAGCCGCGGUAAUACGGAGGGUGCGAGCGUUAAUCGGAAUUACUGGGCGUAAAGCGCAUGCAGGUGGAUGAUUAAGUCAGAUGUGAAAGCCCGGGGCUCAACCUCGGAAUAGCAUUUGAAACUGGUCAUCUAGAGUACUGUAGAGGGGGGUAGAAUUUCAGGUGUAGCGGUGAAAUGCGUAGAGAUCUGAAGGAAUCCGGUGGCGAAGGCGGCCCCCUGGACAGAUACCUGACACUCAGAUGCGAAAGCGUGGGGAGCAAACAGGAUUAGAUACCCUGGUAGUCCACGCCGUAAACGAUGUCUACUUGGAGGUUGUGGCCUUGAGCCGUGGCUUUCGGAGCUAACGCGUUAAGUAGACCGCCUGGGGAGUACGGUCGCAAGAUUAAAACUCAAAUGAAUUGACGGGGGCCCGCACAAGCGGUGGAGCAUGUGGUUUAAUUCGAUGCAACGCGAAGAACCUUACCUACUCUUGACAUCCUCAGAACUCAGAGAAGUUUGUGCC
rnacentral:rRNA from 1 species